rnacentral:rRNA from 1 species
AGCAAGCACCGGCUAACUCCGUGCCAGCAGCCGCGGUAAUACGGAGGGUGCAAGCGUUACUCGGAAUCACUGGGCGUAAAGCGCGCGCAGGCGGCUAUUUAAGUUGGAUGUGAAAGCCUACGGCUCAACCGUAGAACUGCAUCCAAAACUAUUUAGCUAGAGUGUGGGAGAGGAAGAUGGAAUUAGUUGCGUAGGGGUAAAAUCCGUAGAGAUAACUAGGAAUACCAAAAGCGAAGGCAAUCUUCUGGAACAUUACUGACGCUGAGGCGCGAAAGCGUGGGGAGCAAACAGGAUUAGAUACCCUGGUAGUCCACGCCCUAAACGAUGAAUGUUAGUCGUCGGGUAGCUAGUCUAUUCGGUGAUGCAGCUAACGCAUUAAACAUUCCGCCUGGGGAGUACGGUCGCAAGAUUAAAACUCAAAGGAAUAGACGGGGACCCGCACAAGUGGUGGAGCAUGUGGUUUAAUUCGAAGAUACGCGAAGAACCUUACCUAGCCUUGACAUAUAUUAGAACUCCGCAGAGAUGCAGAGGUGCCUUCGGGAGCUUUUAUACAGGUGCUGCACGGCUGUCGUCAGCUCGUGUCGUGAGAUGUUGGGUUAAGUCCCGCAACGAGCGCAACCCUCGUCACUAGUUACUAACGGUUCGGCCGAGGACUCUAGUGAGACUGCCUUCGUAAGGAGGAGGAAGGUGAGGACGACGUCAAGUCAUCAUGGCCCUUACGGCUAGGGCAACACACGUGCUACAAUGGCCAGGACAGUGAGAAGCGAUACCGCGAGGUGGAGCAAAUCUAUAAACCUGGUCUCAGUUCGGAUUGUAGUCUGCAACUCGACUACAUGAAGC